GUGUUUGUUCAGGUAGCACAUAUGAUAAAUUGGAAUCGAUAUGGAGAAGAUUAGCAUGGCCCCUGCAAAAAGGGUGAGUCCAAGAAAAAGCUACAGUAGGU
rnacentral:snRNA from 1 species